rnacentral:rRNA from 1 species
AACGUAGGACGCAAGCGUUAUCCGGAGUUACUGGGCGUAAAGCGCGGGCAGGCGGUCACUCAAGUCUGAUGUGAAAUCCUCCCGCUCAACGGGGAGCAGCCAUUGGAAACUGGGCGACUGGAGUCUGACAGGAGGUAGGCGGAAUUCCGGGAUGGAGAUGGUGGAAAUAGCGUGAGAGAUCCGGAGGAACACCAGAGGCGAAGGCGGC